rnacentral:rRNA from 1 species
UACGUAGGGUGCUAGCGUUGUCCGGAAUCAUUGGGCGUAAAGAGCGUGUAGGCGGCCCGGUAAGUCCGCUGUGAAAGUCAAAGGCUCAACCUUUGAAUGUCAGUGGAUACUGCCGGGCUAGAGUCCGGAAGAGGCGAGUGGAACUCCUGGUGUAGCGGUGGAAUGCGCAGAUAUCAGGAAGAACACCAACGGCGAAGGCAGCUCGCUGGGACGGUACUGACGCUGAGACGCGAAAGCGUGGGGAGCGAACAGG